UUUUUUUUAUGAAAAAUAUGACGCCAUAAAUAUAACUACACCCAAAUUUUAUGUGGGUCUCACGGCCACGUGUGAUGCGAACCAGCGAACCAAAAUUGUCUUCGCUUUUCUGCCGAACGUGUCAAGCCGAGAGAGCCGCGCCUUGAUUCCUCCGCCCCGCCCUUAUCCUUUCCCUCUCCUCCUCCGCCACUCGUUUCUCUCAUCCUUUCUCUCCUCCGCGCGCUCCUCUCAGCUGGCGAGGAGCUCCGAUGAGCAAUGGCGCCGGGGGCAUGGGCAUACGGGACGGGAUGAGCGACGCACAGGUGAAAAGGACACGCGGUGACGGAAAAAAAGUGUGACGGACGAAAAAACACAUGGUGUAAAGAUGUGACGACCGGAAAAAUGCUAAUAUUUAUAUUAGUUAGUUAUAGAUAUAGAUAUAGAUAUAUCUAUUUUUUUAAAAAAAAUCUUGGGUAUUCAUUUGAAUACCCAUGAAUUACAGUGGGUCCGCCCCUGAGUGAUGGUCCACAAAUCUUUAUAUGUGGUGCUAUAUCCUAUCCACCUUUUAGGACGAGGCAACAAUAGGAUACCACAACAUAUUUACAAAAAGCUGUGCAGAAACUUACUUGCAAAAAAAAAGGGCCGUAGAAAUAAAGAACACUGAACCAUACAAAUACAAGCAAUAACAUAGCUGCAAUAAAGAAACAGGAGGGAAUGGGGAUUUGGUGGUGUAGAAGGCGCAAUCCAGAUGCACUCAGAGAUGGAUCUAAAAAUCUAACGGUCCCAGGAUGAAGAUCCUGAUCUCCUAGACCAAUUUUCAAUAUUUGUGAUAUAUUUUCUAAAAGAGGAUCAAUUGUAUUUUGUCUUAGCAAGGAAAAUAUAAUAAGAU